rnacentral:rRNA from 1 species
AUGAGGCACUUUUGUGCAAACUUCUAUAGGGCAUGUGGUAUCAAGGAGUUGGCCGAUGAUCUUCAAGAUUGUUGUCUCGCUUUCACCAACAAGCAGUUUGCCACAUUGUUCAAUGCAUUGCUCAGACACAAGAAACUUGACCCCGGUGGUCUUGAAUUUCUCAAUAAGAACAUUGUCGAAAGGAAUAUGUGGGCGCGUGCUUUCGAUGAAGAUGGCCGGAGGUACGGUCAAAUGACAAGCAAUAUGGCAGAAUGCUUCAAUAAGGUGCUCAAGGGUGUACGUGCAUUACCCGUGACGGCAAUAGUUCAAUACACAUUUGACAAGAUGAAUGGAUACUUUUUAAAGUACUCAAUGGAGACGGAUAAGCAGAUUGCUGGUGAGAACAAGGAUAAGCACAAGUACUAUUUCCCACCAAAGGUUGAAGAAUGGUUGGACUUUCAAUCACGAAAGGCAGACUCCCAAGAAGCUGUACUAUAUGACGACAACGAGUGGAAGUAUGAAGUGAAAGAGCCUGGAGGAACCACAAACGAUGGGCACCAACACGGAGGCCGCGCUUUCAAGGUCUCCCUAACACGGUGUGAUUGCAGCUGCAUGAGGCCAUCGUUGCUUCAUCUCCCAUGCUCGCACUUGUUAAAUGCAUCCCGUGUUAGGAAUGUGGACGUCAAUCACCCUCUUACCGUGAGGGAGUCCGAGUUCUCAAUCAUGACGGUAAAUAAUACAUGGGCUCCCCGGUUUCAGCCAUACUUGGACCAAUCACAAUGGCCGGAGUAUCAUGGAGUUCAACUAUGGCCGGACCCGGAAUUGAAGGUCGUUAGACGGGGAAGACGUAAGACAAAGCGUCUUAGAGGUGACAUGGACGGAUGGGGCCGUGGUGGCGGUGGAGAAUACGACACUGGCCAAUUCCAAGAGCCUCGUGAGCAAACCCGUUGUGGGGACUGCAGUCAUCGGGGACACAACACAAGAACUUGUCCCAAACCAAGAAAAAGAUCAAAGAAAAAUGAUGCAAGCACAAGCCAAGCAAAUGAUAGCCAACCAAGUCAACCAAGGAGUAGCCAACCAAGUCAAACAAGCCAACGAGGAACUAGGCAACAAAGAGGGAGUCAACUAGGUCUUAGAAGAGGCCGUUGUGGUGGUAGAGGCCGUGGUGGUGGUAGAGGCCGUGGUGAUGGCCUAGGCCGUGGUGAUGGCCUAGGCCGUGGUGAAGGCCUAGGCCGUGGUGAUGGUCUUGGCCGUGGUGAGGGUCUUGGCCGUGGUGGUGGGAGAGGCCGUGGUGAUGGUCUUGGCCGUGGUGGUGGUAGAGCCCGUGGUGGUGGUCUAGGCCGUGGUGGCGGUAGAGGCUGUGGUGGUGGUAGAGGCCGCGGUGGUGAUCUUGGCCUUGGCGGCGGCCGUGGUGGAGGAAUGUUCAGUUGGCUCAAUGGACCAUUGUCGUAUGGAAACAAUGAAGGGGGUGGAGGACACGGAGGGGGAAGUGAGCUCCCUUGGUGGUCGGAGGAGGGAGAAGAAGAAGAAGAAGAGAGGAAGAAGAAGGGACAAGGACCGUGA